rnacentral:rRNA from 1 species
UUAAGAUAGUAAGAGCAUACGGUGGAUGCCUUGGCGAUAUCUGCCGAUGAAGGACGCGACAAGCUGCGAAAAGCUGCGGUGAGGUGCAAAUGACCUUUGACCCGCAGAUGUCCGAAUGGAGCAAUCCGGCUGUGGUUAUGCACAGUCACCCAUGCCUGUGAGUAUGGGAGGGAACCAGGCGAACUGAAACAUCUAAGUAGCCUGAGGAGAAGUAAUCAAACGAGAUACCCCCAGUAGCGGCGAGCGAACGGGGCAGAAGCCCAAACCGCAGAAGGAAACUUUUACGGGGUUGAGGGCCGUCAUACGAACGUGGAAUCCAGCUGAAGCUUCUGGGAAGGAGCGCCGCAGGAUGUGAAAGCCAUGUAAGCGAAAGAGGAAGCGGAACAGACGGUACCAGAGUACCGCGGGACACGAGAAACCCCGUGGGAAGCAGGGGGGACCACCCUCCAAGGCAAAACACAGAUAUCGACCGAUAGCGCAUAGUACCAUGAGGGAAAGGUGAAAAGCACCCCGGGAGGGGAAUGAAACAGAACCUGAAACCGUAUGUUUACAAGCAGUCGGAGACCGUAUAUAUAUCAGGUCGACGGCGUGCCUAUUGAAGAAUGAACCGGCGAGUUAUGAGGUCCAGCGAGGUUAAGCAGGAAAUGCGGAGCCGAAGCGAAAGCGAGUCUUAACAGGGCGAGUAGUUGGACUGCAUAGACCCGAAACCACAGUGAUCUACCCAUGUCCAGGUUGAAGCACAGGUAAAAAUGUGUGGAGGACCGAACCUAUAUCCGUUGAAAAGGGUUAGGAUGAGGUGUGGGUAGGGGUGAAAUUCCAAUCGAACGUGGAGAUAGCUGGUUCUCCCCGAAAUAGCUUUAGGGCUAGCCUCAGGGUAAAGAUUGCAGGCGGUAGAGCACUGAUCAGGAGAGGGACCUACCCGGUUACCAAACCCAGUCAAACUACGAAUGGCUGCAAUUAUACCUGGGAGUCAGACUACGACUUAUAAGGGCCGUGGUCAAAAGGGAAACAGCCCAGAUCAUCAGCUAAGGUCCCAAAUGCCGUGCUAAGUGGCGAAGGAUGUGGCGUUUCAUAAACAACCAGGAUGUUGGCUCAGAAGCAGCCACCAUUUAAAGAGUGCGUAAUAGCUCACUGGUCGAGAGACGCUGCGCCGAAAAUGUCCGGGGCUCAAGCACGGAACCGAAGCUAUGGCAUUGCGUAAGCAAUGGGUAGGGGAGCGUUCUUAUGGGGAAGAAGCAUUACCGUAAGGAGAUGUGGACACAUAAGAAGUGAGAAUGCCGGUAUGAGUAUCGAAAAGAAAGGUGAGAAUCCUUUCCACCGAAAGCCCGAGGGUUCCUGAGCAACGAUCGUCGUCUCAGGGUAAGUCGGGACCUAAGCCGAGGCACAGACGCAUAGGCGAUGGACAACAGGUUGAAAUUCCUGUACCGGAUGGAGUCAUUUGAGCAAUGGAGUGACGCAGGAGGGCACAUGAUCGCGCGACUGGAAGAGCGCGUCCAAGUGUGUAUGUUGAAUCGGAGGCAAAUCCCCGAUUCUGAAAGCAGAGACAUGAUGGGGAGUUAUAAGCGAUUAUGACGAACUCAUGGAUCCCACACUGCCAAGAAAAACUUCUAGCGAGACGAAAUCCGCCCGUACCGUAAACCGACACAGGUAGGCGGGGAGAGAAUCCUAAGGUGCGCGGGAAAACCCUCGUUAAGGAACUCGGCAAAUUGCAUCCGUAACUUCGGGAGAAGGAUGGCCCUGAGUAGGCGAAGUGCAGAAACGCACGGAACAGAAAAGGGUGGCAGAAAAGAGGCCCAAGCAACUGUUUACCAAAAACACAGGUGCCUGCGAAAGCGAAAGCUGAAGUAUAGGUGCUGACGCCUGCCCGGUGCUGGAAGGUUAAGGAGAGAGGUUAGCGCAAGCGAAGCUUUGAACUGAAGCCCCAGUGAACGGCGGCCGUAACUAUAACGGUCCUAAGGUAGCGAAAUUCCUUGUCAGGUAAGUUCUGACCCGCACGAAAGGCGUAAUGAUCUGGGUACUGUCUCAACCAUAGACUCGGUGAAAUCUUAAUACCUGUGAAAAUGCAGGUUACCCGCGACUGGACGGAAAGACCCCGUGGAGCUUUACUGUAGCUUGAUAUUGGAAUUCGGUAAACUAUGUAGAGCAUAGGUGGGAGACUAUGAGACUAAGGCGCCAGCCUUAGAGGAGUCACCAUUGGAAUACCACCCUUAGUUUAUUGGAUUUCUAACCUAGAGCCAUUAUCUGGUUCAGGGACAGUGUCUGGUGGGCAGUUUGACUGGGGCGGUCGCCUCCUAAAAUGUAACGGAGGCGUUCAAAGGUUCCCUCAGAAUGGUUGGAAAUCAUUCAAAGAGCGUAAAGGUAUAUAGGGAGCUUGACUGCGAGACCUACAAGUCAAGCAGGUGCGAAAGCAGGACUUAGUGAUCAGGCGAUUCAGAAUGGAAUGGUCGUCGCUUAACGGAUAAAAGUUACCCCGGGGAUAACAGGCUGAUACCACCCAAUAGUUCACAUAGACGGUGGUGUUUGGCACCUCGAUGUCGGCUCGUCAUAUCCUGGAGGUGGAGUCGCUUCCAAGGGUUGGGCUGUUCGCCCAUUAAAGUGGCACGCGAGCUGGGUUCAGAACGUCGUGAGACAGUUCGGUCCCUAUCCGUCGUGGGCGCAGGAAAAUUGAGGAGAGCUAUCCUUAGUACGAGAGGACCGGGAUGGACCUACCUCUGGUGUAUCUGUUGUCACGCCAGUGGCAGUGCAGAGUAGCUAUGUAGGGAAGGGAUAAACGCUGAAAGCAUCUAAGCGUGAAGCCCUCUCCAAGAUGAGUUUUCCCAUUGUUUAACAAGUAAAAUCCCAGAUAGACUAACUGGUUGAUAGGCUAGAAGUGGAAGUGUAGCGAUACAUUGAGCGGACUAGUACUAAUAGAUUGAGGAUUUAAUCCC